GCGGUAAAAGCUCAAAUUUGAAAUCUGGUACUUUCAGUGCCCGAGUUGUAAUUUGUAGAAUUUGUCUUUGAUUAGGUCCUUGUCUAUGUUCCUUGGAACAGGACGUCAUAGAGGGUGAGAAUCCCGUUUGGCGAGGAUACCUUUUCUCUGUAAGACUUUUUCGAAGAGUCGAGUUGUUUGGGAAUGCAGCUCAAAGUGGGUGGUAAAUUCCAUCUAAAGCUAAAUAUUGGCGAGAGACCGAUAGCGAACAAGUACAGUGAUGGAAAGAUGAAAAGAACUUUGAAAAGAGAGUGAAAAAGUACGUGAAAUUGUUGAAAGGGAAGGGCAUUUGAUCAGACAUGGUGUUUUUUGCAUGCACUCGCCUCUCGUGGGCUUGGGCCUCUCAAAAAUUUCACUGGGCCAACAUCAAUUCUGGCAGCAGGAUAAAUCAUUAAGAAUGUAGCUACUUUGGUAGUGUUAUAGCUUUUUGGAAUACUGUUAGCCGGGAUUGAGGACUGCGCUUCGGCAAGGAUGUUGGCAUAAUGGUUAAAUGCCGCCCGUC
rnacentral:rRNA from 1 species